rfam:Triticum aestivum genome assembly, contig: Triticum_aestivum_CS42_TGACv1_scaffold_146024_2BS
AUCCUACUCCUUCCGUCCCAAAAUGCUUGUCUUAGAUUUGUCUAGAUACGAAUGUAUCCGUAUCUAAACAAAUCUAAGACAAGAAUUUUGGGACGGAGGGAGUAUUUU